rnacentral:rRNA from 1 species
UUCGGUGGCGAUUGCGGAGGGGUCACACCCGUUCCCAUCCCGAACACGGAAGUUAAGCCCUCCAGCGCCGAUGGUACUUGGUCGGAGACGGCCUGGGAGAGUAGGACGCCGCCGGAU